rnacentral:rRNA from 1 species
GAUGAACGCUAGCUACAGGCUUAACACAUGCAAGUCGAGGGGAAACGAUAGAGAAAGCUUGCUUUUUCUAGGCGUCGACCGGCGCACGGGUGAGUAACGCGUAUCCAACCUGCCCACCACUUGGGGAUAACCUUGCGAAAGUAAGACUAAUACCCAAUGAUAUCCCAAGAAGACAUCUGAAUGAGAUUAAAGAUUUAUCGGUGAUGGAUGGGGAUGCGUCUGAUUAGCUUGUUGGCGGGGUAACGGCCCACCAAGGCGACGAUCAGUAGGGGUUCUGGGAGGAAGGUCCCCCACAUUGGAACUGAGACACGGUCCAAACUCCUACGGGAGGCAGCAGUGAGGAAUAUUGGUCAAUGGGCGAGAGCCUGAACCAGCCAAGUAGCGUGCAGGAUGACGGCCCUAUGGGUUGUAAACUGCUUUUAUAAGGGAAUAAAGUGAGUCUCGUGAGACUUUUUGCAUGUACCUUAUGAAUAAGGACCGGCUAAUUCCGUGCCAGCAGCCGCGGUAA